rnacentral:pre_miRNA from 1 species
GGUCCUAGUGCAGUGUGGAAGACUAGUGAUUUUGUUGUGAUGCUGAGCAAUGAGAAUAACAACAAGUCCCAGUCUGCCUCUCAGCACAGGGCA